GAAAAGUUUGAGUUUAACCUUUUCAGCUCAUUGUGAACUCAAUGUCGGGCAGUCAGGCACUUGAAGGUGUUAAUAUAACAAAUAUAUAAGGCUUAAUUUUAGGGAAAUGUAUUUAUGAUUACUUUUUGAUGUAGCAGUGCAUCCAUAAAAUACAUGGCAUGUUCCUUCUGAUAAGUUUACUCACCAUAAGAAUUAUACGUUUCUGAGUGUUAUACACAUUGUCAGGUUUCAGCAAUUAACUGGGAAGGCUGAAGAGGUGUGAUGUUCGACUGGAGAGCGCACCAACUGCGGCUUCAUGAUGCUGACCUGCUGGGCUCACAUUUGCUGGGUUCGCUCAAAGAUCAUCAACUCCGCUGACAUGCAUAAACACAACGUGACGGUUAGAAGAAAAGCACCUUCUCUGCACUAAGGUCCGUCACCUCCUUGAGCGGGGCACUAGCCUGUUUGAAAGUCUCGUCCACCACUUUGAUGCCUGUGUUCCUCAGCGUGACAUAC